rnacentral:rRNA from 1 species
UACGUAGGGUGCGAGCGUUAAUCGGAAUUACUGGGCGUAAAGCGUGCGCAGGCGGUCUGUUAAGACCGAUGUGAAAUCCCCGGGCUUAACCUGGGAACUGCAUUGGUGACUGGGCAGGCUUUGAGUGUGGCAGAGGGAGGUAGAAUUCCACGUGUAGCAGUGAAAUGCGUAGAGAUGUGGAGGAAUACCGAUGGCGAAGGCGGCCUCCUGGGCCAACACUGACGCUCAUGCACGAAAGCGUGGGGAGCAAACAGG